UCUCGGCAUUUGGUGUCGUCAGUGUGGU
rnacentral:piRNA from 1 species